rnacentral:rRNA from 1 species
UACGUAGGGGGGCUAGCGUUGUCUGGAAUUAUUGGGCGUAAAGAGCUCGUAGGCGGUUUGUUGCGUCGGCUGUGAAAUCCCGAGGCUCAACCUCGGGUCUGCAGUCGAUACGAGCAAACUAGAGUGUUGCAGGGGAGACUGGAAUUCCUGGUGUAGCGGUGAAAUGCGCAGAUAUCAGGAGGAACACCGGUGGCGAAGGCGGGUCUCUGGGCAACAACUGACGCUGAGGAGCGAAAGCGUGGGGAGCGAACAGG